GUAAGGAAUAUUGGACAAUGGACGCAAGUCUGAUCCAGCCAUGCCGCGUGGAGGAUUAAGGUCCUCUGGAUUGUAAACUUCUUUUAUAAGGGACGAAAAAAGGCUUUUCUAAGUCGUCUGACGGUACCUUAUGAAUAAGCACCGGCUAACUCCGUGCCAGCAGCCGCGGUAAUACGGAGGGUGCAAGCGUUAUCCGGAUUCACUGGGUUUAAAGGGUGCGUAGGCGGGCAGGUAAGUCAGUGGUGAAAUCCUAGAGCUUAACUCUAGAACUGCCAUUGAUACUAUCUGUCUUGAAUAUUGUGGAGGUAAGCGGAAUAUGUCAUGUAGCGGUGAAAUGCUUAGAUAUGACAUAGAACACCUAUUGCGAAGGCAGCUUACUACGCAUAUAUUGACGCUGAGGCACGAAAGCGUGGGGAUCAAACAGGAUUAGAAACCCGUGUAGUCC
rnacentral:rRNA from 1 species